CUACGGGGCGCUCCAGUCGAGAAUCAUUGACAAUGUACGAAAGUAUGAUCAUGCGACGCCGCGUGGAGGAAGACGGCCUUCGGGUUGUAAACUCCUGUCAGCAGGGAAGAAAAAUGGUUUUUCGAAUACAAUGACCAUUCGACGGUACCUGCAGAGGAAGUCACGGCUAACUCUGUGCCAGCAGCCGCGGUAAUACAGAGGUGGCGAACGUUGUUCGGAUUUACUGGGCGUAAAGGGUCCGCAGGCGGCCUGGUGUGUCGGAUGUGAAAGCUCACAGCUCAACUGUGGAAUUGCAUUCGAAACUGCCGGGCUAGAGUACUGGAGGGGAGAAGGGAACACUUGGUGUAGCGGUGAAAUGCGUAGAUAUCAAGUGGAACACCGGUGGCGAAGGCGCUUCUCUGGACAGAUACUGACGCUCAUGGACGAAAGUUUGGGUAGCGAAAGGGAUUGGAUACCCCAGUAGUC
rnacentral:rRNA from 1 species